rnacentral:miRNA from 1 species
GGGAGAAAGUGGGUCUAGAAAGAGUGAAAAGAGCGUAUUUACUAAAACUUCCCCUUUUUCUAUCCACAG